rnacentral:lncRNA from 1 species
AGAAAUGUGUGCAGCAAAGGAGUAGCACAUACAUUUGACAAGCAGCUGUGCACUUAACAGCAAGCAUCUUUACAGAAACAUCUUUAUUUUUCAGCACUUUGCUAUCACGGAAUGACAGAAUGGUUUGGUUUGGAAGGGCCCUUAAAGACCACCUCGUUCCAAGCCCCCCCCCGUGGGCAGGGACACCAUCCACUACAAUAGGUUGACCAAAGCCCCAUCGUGUGACUGUCCUUCUGGCCAGUUUGAAACUGAAGACUUCCAGAAACCAAACCUCACAGCUUGACAAAUCAGAAUGGCUGAGAUAUGUCCUGGCAAUGUCUUCAGCCUUGACCAUCCCAAAAGAGAUGCCGCAAAUCAACUUCAGCACAAGCGUACAAAGACAUAUUAAUCGCAAUUACGCACCCUGCUCCCAAGGAAGAGAUUUGCUUUUGGAAGUCUUCAGCAUGCCACCUCAGAAGCAGCCAUCAGAUCGAAUACCUUUCAGCAUUCUAAUUCUCAAUAGAUUACACACACACCACGUUACUUGUGAAGCAUACACCAGCCUUAUUAAGGCAUGUUCCAACCUAAAUAAAUAACACUGUUCUGAAAUAACUGCUAUUAAGUACCGAAGAGCAGAAAUCCCUGUUUGGCAUUUGGUCCAAAUUAAGUUGUUUGUUGCUGAAAUAGAUUUCUUAUAGUUAUUGUGCAAAUGAAUUUAUAUACACACUGAGAGAAGAAAGCCCUUCAGCUGGGAUCCGUGUUGCUUCCAGCUCCACACUGCACACUGCCACAUGUCUAACUGCUCUCAGGCCAAGGCACUCCACUUGGGUGGCUGCUUUUGAACUCUGCCACCCAACCUGGGCUUGCUAUGCGUGACAGUUUUGCGCAGAGAGAGCAAGAAACAGGGAAGCACUGACAGCCAUUUGCAGAGCAACACAGUUAACACUAAAUUCUGUGAAGUAGAAAAUGCUAGAGAGAACACUCUGUGUCACAACUUUACAUGUCAGCUUUCAGAAAGCACAUUGAACCUAUUUAUCCAGCAUCGUAUAAAAGCACCAUUGAAAGGUUGAACAGAGAGCACCGUGUAUACAGAAUUUUGAUCAAGACAAGCGAGAGGAGCUGUUCAGGGAGCCAUGGAGAAGUACAGAGCCCAGAGGAAUCCCGGCAAGAUGGGUUCCCUGGAGGCACAGUACACGAGGGCUUAAAGAACAAAGCGGCUGACCCUCAGCCAGCUGCUUUGUGGGAUGACCCAGCUUUGUGUGACUGAUGGACCUGAGCCCCAGCACCCGUUCCUCUCUGCAAUUCCCUCACCCUGCAAGGCCUGCUGUAUACCAGCAAGCCUGUAAUUGAUGCCAGUACAAAGACUGAAGCUGCCAAUUGUUCACAGUUGACAUGGACACAGACCACAUCUCCCUGAAUCCUCGCUGUUGAACAACAUAGGUUCUUCAAAAGAAGAUUGAUCAUUCUUAUUGCAAAGCUUAGUUAUUAUAGCUACAUUGCUGGGCUUUCUAGAGGAAGUUUGCGAGAGGCUAUUGCUAAACUGAGGCUAACUGAGGUCCAGUGCAUUUGAUGUGUCUCGGCUGUAAAGCUGUUUUCAACUGUUUCCAAAGCUGUUUCCCCCAGAAAUAAAUGGAGGAAACACUCUUUUUGGUUUUGUGUCGAACAAACACAGUGUGGAAAAAGAGUAUGGAAGUACUUGGUAUAAAAGGCACUAUAGCUGAUCUAACUGCUGCAAUUAUGUUCGUGCCUGUGCACAGAUAUCCUUAAACAAAUGUUUCACUGUGACUGAGAAAGCAAUUCUGAACUCAUCACUGCAGAAAGGGACUGCUGGCUUCAGCGUAUGGCUGGAAGUCCCACAGGAGACAGAUUCAGGGAAGAGACAUCCAAACUGCAUGUCUUAUUUCUACCUGUUCCCAGAAGGGAAUCAGAAAUGAUCUUUUCAGUAGUGUAAGUACACUGACAUUGCAGCUUUACUUGGCUUUACUACAGCAAAGUGUGAGUUUCUU